rnacentral:rRNA from 1 species
AUUGAACGCUGGCGGCAGGCUUAACACAUGCAAGUCGAACGAGUGGCGGACGGGUGAGUAAUGAAUGGGAACAUAGCUUAUGGAGGGGGAUAACUACGGGAAACUGUAGCUAAUACCGCGUACCAUAGGAUCAGUCAAAGUGGGAUUAGGUAGUUGGUGGGGUAAAGGCUCACCAAGGCAACGAUCCCUAGCUGGUCUGAGAGGAUGACCAGCCACACGUGGACUGAGACACGGCCCGGACUCCUCCGUGAGGCAGCAGUGGGGAAUAUUGCCCAAUGGGGGCAACCUGAUGCAGCCAUGCCGCGUGAAUGAAGAAGGCCUUCGGGUUGUAAAGUACUUUCGGUAGCGAGGCGUUAACUACAGAAUAAGCACCGGCUAACUCCGUGCCAGCAGCCGCGGUAAUUC